rnacentral:rRNA from 1 species
UACGUAGGGUGCGAGCGUUAAUCGGAAUUACUGGGCGUAAAGUGUGCGCAGGUGGCCGCGCAAGUCGAGUGUGAAAUCCCCGAGCUUAACUUGGGAAUUGCGCUCGAAACUACGUGGCUCGAGUGUGGCAGAGGAAGGUGGAAUUCCACGUGUAGAGGUGAAAUUCGUAGAUAUUCGCAAGAACACCAGUGGCGAAGGCGGCUCACUGGCCCGAUACUGACGCUGAGGCACGAAAGCGUGGGGAGCAAACAGG